GCUGGGCCUGGUGGCACACACCUGUAAUCCCAGCAGCUCGGGAGGCUGAGGCAGGAGGAUCAUGAGUUCAAAGCCAGCCUCAGCAAAAGCGAGGCACUAAGCAACUCAUUGAGACCCUGUCUCUA
rnacentral:sRNA from 1 species